GACGAACGCUGGCGGCGUGCUUAACACAUGCAAGUCGAACGGAAAGGCCCUGCUUUUGUGGGGUGCUCGAGUGGCGAACGGGUGAGUAACACGUGAGUAACCUGCCCUUGACUUUGGGAUAACUUCAGGAAACUGGGGCUAAUACCGGAUAGGAUCUCCUGCUGCAUGGUGGGGGUUGGAAAGUUUCGGCGGUUGGGGCUGGACUCGCGGCUUAUCAGCUUGUUGGUGGGGUAGUGGCUUACCAAGGCUUUGACGGGUAGCUGGCCUGAGAGGGUGACCGGCCACAUUGGGACUGAGAUACGGCCCAGACUCCUACGGGAGGCAGCAGUGGGGAAUAUUGCACAAUGGGCGGAAGCCUGAUGCAGCAACGCCGCGUGCGGGAUGACGGCCUUCGGGUUGUAAACCGCUUUCGCCUGUGACGAAGCGUGAGUGACGGUAAUGGGUAAAGAAGCACCGGCUAACUACGUG
rnacentral:rRNA from 1 species